ACAGUCACACAUUAGAUACCCCUGUAGUCCCAGCUGUAAACUAUGUGCGUUAAGGUGUGUCAGUGACCACGUGUCACUGAGGUGCCGAAGGGAAACCGUGAACGCACCGCCUGGGGAGUACGGUCGCAAGGCUGAAACUUAAAGGAAUUGGCGGGGAGCACCACAACGGGUGGAGCCUGCGGUUUAAUCGGGCUCAACGCCGGGAAUCUCACCGGAUAAGACAGCUGAAUGAUAGUCGGGAUGAAGACUCUACUUGACUAGCUG
rnacentral:rRNA from 1 species